rnacentral:rRNA from 1 species
CUACGGGGUGCAGCAGUGGGGAAUAUUGCACAAUGGGCGCAAGCCUGAUGCAGCCAUGCCGCGUGUAUGAAGAAGGCCUUCGGGUUGUAAAGUACUUUCAGCGGGGAGGAAGGGAGUAAAGUUAAUACCUUUGCUCAUUGACGUUACCCGCAGAAGAAGCACCGGCUAACUCCGUGCCGGCAGCCGCGGUGAUACGGAGGGUGCAAGCGUUAAUCGGAAUUACUGGGCGUAAAGCGCACGCAGGCGGUUUGUUAAGUCAGAUGUGAAAUCCCCGGGCUCAACCUGGGAACUGCAUCUGAACUGGCAAGCUUGAGUCUCGUAGAGGGGGGUAGAAUUCCAGGUGUAGCGGUGAAAUGCGUAGAGAUCUGGAGGAAUACCGGUGGCGAAGGCGGCCCCCUGGACGAAGACUGACGCUCAGGUGCGAAAGCGUGGGGAGCAAACAGGAUUAGAUACCCGGGUAGUC